AAGAUAAAGUUCAAAUUUACAAAGUCCUUGCUUCCACCUUCACCAUUAGAGUUCCUGGAGCUCUAUACGAGCACACCUGUGCUCGUAUAUCUCCGAAAAUAUAGUUCAACGUCAAGAUUAUAAGAAUUUCUAACAUGGUAUCAGAGCGAGUUCGAUCCAAAUGGGCGCUAAAGUUUCCGCUACAAGCUGAAGGUGAUAAUUCCACACAAUAGAUGACGCAAGGAGAUGCACCAAAGAGUGCAUUUCUAAAGAAAAUUUGAGGGAAGAGCAUCAAAGAAAUGCCUCCUCAAAUAACAGAGAUGGCAAAAGUGAGAGUCAUCCUGUAAAAAUAUUCUACUCAUAAAGUUGAGUGGGCGGAACCUCUGAACCUACGAUGGUCAAGUUUUGUGAAAGGCGAGGAAUAUCAACAGAAGGCAAAGCCUCUGAAUUUAAGACUGUCAAGUUCGAUCUAAACCAUGAAGGAGAAGGAGAUAAUUGACACAAGACAGAGGCUCUGAAUCUACAAGGAACAGGCUGCGAAAAUGCCAGGUCAACAAAGAAGAUCUAAAACAGGAUAUGGAGACACUACGAAGGCGAGCUGGUUUCAAUGUGACGACAAGUCCGAAAUGAAUACACUACGAGCA